GGCACUACGGUGCUGAAGCAACAAAUGCCCUGCUUCCAGGAAAAGCCUCUAAGCAUCAGGUAACAUCAAAUCGUACCCCAAACCGACACAGGUGGUCAGGUAGAGAAUACCAAGGCGCUUGAGAGAACUCGGGUGAAGGAACUAGGCAAAAUGGUGCCGUAACUUCGGGAGAAGGCACGCUGAUAUGUAGGUGAAGUCCCUCGCGGAUGGAGCUGAAAUCAGUCGAAGAUACCAGCUGGCUGCAACUGUUUAUUAAAAACACAGCACUGUGCAAACACGAAAGUGGACGUAUACGGUGUGACGCCUGCCCGGUGCCGGAAGGUUAAUUGAUGGGGUCAGCGCAAGCGAAGCUCUUGAUCGAAGCCCCGGUAAACGGCGGCCGUAACUAUAACGGUCCUAAGGUAGCGAAAUUCCUUGUCGGGUAAGUUCCGACCUGCACGAAUGGCGUAAUGAUGGCCAGGCUGUCUCCACCCGAGACUCAGUGAAAUUGAACUCGCUGUGAAGAUGCAGUGUACCCGCGGCAAGACGGAAAGACCCCGUGAACCUUUACUAUAGCUUGACACUGAACAUUGAGCCUUGAUGUGUAGGAUAGGUGGGAGGCUUUGAAGUGUGGACGCCAGUCUGCAUGGAGCCGACCUUGAAAUACCACCCUUUAAUGUUUGAUGUUCUAACGUUGACCCGUAAUCCGGGUUGCGGACAGUGUCUGGUGGGUAGUUUGACUGGGGCGGUCUCCUCCUAAAGAGUAACGGAGGAGCACGAAGGUUGGCUAAUCCUGGUCGGACAUCAGGAGGUUAGUGCAAUGGCAUAAGCCAGCUUGACUGCGAGCGUGACGGCGCGAGCAGGUGCGAAAGCAGGUCAUAGUGAUCCGGUGGUUCUGAAUGGAAGGGCCAUCGCUCAACGGAUAAAAGGUACUCCGGGGAUAACAGGCUGAUACCGCCCAAGAGUUCAUAUCGACGGCGGUGUUUGGCACCUCGAUGUCGGCUCAUCACAUCCUGGGGCUGAAGUAGGUCCCAAGGGUAUGGCUGUUCGCCAUUUAAAGUGGUACGCGAGCUGGGUUUAGAACGUCGUGAGACAGUUCGGUCCCUAUCUGCCGUGGGCGCUGGAGAACUGAGGGGGGCUGCUCCUAGUACGAGAGGACCGGAGUGGACGCAUCACUGGUGUUCGGGUUGUCAUGCCAAUGGCACUGCCCGGUAGCUAAAUGCGGAAGAGAUAAGUGCUGAAAGCAUCUAAGCACGAAACUUGCCCCGAGAUGAGUUCUCCCUGACUCCUUGAG
rnacentral:rRNA from 1 species